UCCGUAGGGCGCAAGCGUUGUCCGGAAUUAUUGGGCGUAAAGAGCUCGUAGGCGGCCUGUUGCGUCCGCUGUGAAAUCCCGGGGCUCAACCCCGGGCCUGCAGUGGAUACGGGCUGGCUAGAGGCAGGCAGGGGAGAACGGAAUUCCUGGUGUAGCGGUGAAAUGCGCGGAUAUCAGGAGGAACACCGGUGGCGAAGGCGGUUCUCUGGGCCUGUACUGACGCUGAGGAGCGAAAGCGUGGGGAGCGAACAGG
rnacentral:rRNA from 1 species